rnacentral:rRNA from 1 species
GAUGAACGCUAGCGGCAGGCUUAAUACAUGCAAGUCGAGGGGCAGCAUGGGUAGCAAUACCUGAUGGCGACCGGCAAACGGGUGCGGAACACGUACAGAACCUUCCUUUGAGCGGGGGAUAGCCCGAAGAAAUUCGGAUUAAUACCCCAUAGUAUUUUUGUGUGGCAUCACAUAAAAAUUAAAGAUUUAUCACUUAAAGAUGGCUGUGCGUAUGAUUAGGUAGUUGGUUGAGGUAACGGCUCACCAAGCCUUCGAUCAUUAACUGGUGUGAGAGCACGACCAGUCACACGGGCACUGAGACACGGGCCCCGACUCCUACGGGGAGGCAGCAGUAAGGAAUAUUGGUCAAUGGACGCAAGUCU